UCGUAAUAAUAAUUUAAAAUUUAUUUUCAUCGCGUGACGUGAUGACGCGCGAUUUGUUAGAUUAAACGAGCUAUUUAGCAUAAUGAUGGCAGGUGUUAAUGCAUAAUCGAUAACGGGGAACGAAUCGCAAGAUAUUCAAUAUCGAAAGAUAUUAAUCAAUUGACCGGGAUAGUGCUUAAUUUGCUGUAUCGAUAAGGGAUAUCUCCUUGUUAAUAAUUUCAAUAAUUAAAAUUUCUAGCCGUAUUCCAAUCCGUAAUCGUUUACAACAUAUAACGAUUCUUUAUCAUGUGCGAAUUAUUACAGGAAAAUCGACGUAUUAAUAAAUAAUAAUCCAUACUGUAUUAAUUGAUCAUAAUUUUCAUCGAACGUUUUGCAAGAAUAUGAAUAGAUACAUGACGCGCGCGCGUGUGUGUGUAUGCAUGCAAUUGUAUUUAAAUAAUUUGUAACAUUUUGAUUGAACGUGUAAUCGAUUAUUUGUUUUUUUUUUUUUUAUAUAUAUAUUAUAUCUUACAAUUUAAUUAAAACAGAUUGAUUAACGUUACUUUUUACAAUUUUACUUUUAACUUUUAAUUUCCAUCAUUUUUUAAUUAAAUAUUUUCAAAAUAUUUAUUUUUAUAAAUAAAAAUUAAUUUUCAAAUUUCUUCGUCGUUUUUUUUUUUUAAUUAAAUAUUGCAUUUUCAAAAUAUUUAUUUAAAAAUGUUGGUAAUUUUUUUAUUAAAUUUAUACGUACAACGUUGAGAGAGAGAGAGAGAGAGAGAGAGAGAGAGAGAGAGAGAGAGAGAGAGUAUAUGCGAGAGAUUAAUGAAAGCAUGUAUAAUGGUUUGCACUUACACGGAAUACAAAUGCUAUUAGAUAAGUCGUUACGUUGUUAGUUUGACAGAAUGACGCUUCAGCACUUUCAACCGCAUGAAUGACAAAUGACAUUCCCGCGUUUCAGAUCGUGUUAACUGUUGUUAAUCAAGCUACAAGCUUUCUAAAAUAUUUCACCUAUUAAUCACUAUUAUGAAUGGUAUGGCAAUUUAAUCAAUGUAUAUAACGAUAUAAAAAUACAUAAUGGGGAUUACAUUGUUGUAAUUAAAGAUGAUCGACUGCUUUUCCCUCGAAAAUGAUUAAUAAUCAUCCUUCUUGCACCGAUGUUAUAAUAUUAUAUCGGAGGGGGAAAAAUUUGAAUCGAUGCAAGAAUCGAUCGAGCGAGCUUAAAUUUGGAUAAUAAUAAUAAUAAUAAUAAUCUCACGCGAUGGAAUACGAACGGAAAGUAUAGUAAAUAUCGAGAAUCAUAAAAACCCUUGAAAUUCUCCUGGCGAAACUUUGAAACUUUUAAAAACUCUCGAAUAUAACGGACAUUUCGAAAGUCUUAUAACUUUUGAUGGCCCAGAAAUCCUUGAAAUGACAUGCCAAUAAAAUCAAAGUAUCUUUUUAAGAAGUUCCUUUAAAUAUAUAUAUAUAUUUUUCAAAUAAUAAUCGAAAACGAGGAAAAUACAAGAAUAAGUACGCAUCUAUUGCUGCUAAUAGGAUUAAUUCAUUCUCCCAUAAACAUCGCUUUUGAAUCGAAUCAAUCUAUCUAAUUAUGCAUAUUCCACAUAUGGCAUUAUAGUUCUAUUUAUAUGAUAAUAUCGAGUUUAUCGGAUUACGUUUUAAUUCCUACGUUUUGAUUCAAGGAUUUUAGAAGAUUAUAUAUAGAAGAGCAUUUCAACGACAUUUCUGUUUCAAUUAAAAAAAAAAAAUUGAAAAAAAAAUUAAAAAUCUCGAUGACAUGAAAUGGGAAAAGAGAGAGAGGAGAUCAAGAGUAACGAAGCGAGAAAGAGUGACGAUACGGAGAGUAUUUCGUAAAAGAGAAGUGGGAAGAAAGGAAAAAGUUGAAUGGGGAGGGGGGAGAGGAGAUAGAGGCGGUCGAAUGUCGGGAGAGAAAAACAGAAAUGGAAGAAGUGCGACAGGUAGGCGGGGUUCCCGCAGGAACAAUUCGAGAUGUAAAUCAAUGGCUGAUAAGGGUGGCUCUGUCCCACGGGGGAAGGGAAGGUCGCCUUCGUUGGAUCCCGCUCAACUAGAAAGGAGGAUAGAGAUCCUGAAAUCAGGGAGUAUAGUACCAGGGAAAGGUGGGUCUUCGUUCCGCGGAAAUGCCUCGUUCAAGAAUUAUUUAUUUGCCGAGUUUCAACGAAAAUUUUCGCCCUUAAGUGGGUUCUGCGUUUUCUACCUCAAUCCUCCAUCUUGCUCCUUCCGCAGCCUUCUAAUCCUCCCAUUUUCUGCCCCUGUCUUAAAGUUGGCUACUACAAAGGAGGCCCGUGCCAUAACUAGGAUGUACGGUAAAUUUGCGUGUUGGCUCAACUCGAUGAAAUUGCUUCGUAAGAAAGAAAAAAAAAGAGAGGUAAAAAAAAUAUAAAUCCAUGUAGCAAGAGAAAAUUUGAAUUUUAUCGCGUUAGAAAAUUCGAUACGUAAUUAUUUUUAUUUUCGUCAACUCGUUCUGCUGCUACCUGAAAAAGAAGAAUUCUCGUCUAGGCGAUUGUAGACAUUUAGGUUGGAAACAUUUUGCUCACGGUCGGUAAAGUUGGGCGACGAAUUGGUUUGUAGCUUAUUUCGAUCGUAAGUCGAGCACAGUUAGAUUCAUCUUUUCGAGUGAUAAAUUUCACAUGAAAGGUACCCUUGGAUAAUCGAUAUCCGAUACUAACGAUGCUUCUGUCUGGCCAAUCGGCCUAGAGUCACAUGAUAUGUAUGUCAUGCUACAAUAGCUCGAAUUGAACGAUUUAUUGUACAGGCCUACAAACAGCUUUGCAUGCGUGACGCGUAGGUAGACAUCGACAAAUGUCUCGAUCGGUAAAAAAAAAAAUUAUCAAUCAUAGAUCUUUUUUGUCGCAGGUAGAUCAUAUUAUUUUCUUUUUCUUCGAUAAAAACGAAAAAAAAUCUUUACAAAUUGAACACUUAGAUUAGAUUAACGAUACAUCAAGAGAAGCGAGUAAAAUAUUUCUAGAAUAAUUAUUAAACAGCAUGGAUCACUUUGUUAAAAAGUAUCUGCAUAAAUGAUAUUGUUUUUGACCGAUGAAAACUUCAUUCAAAAAAGAUGUGAAUAACUUGUUCUUUAAAGAGUGAACAAUAACCGAGGAUGAAACGGUCGAGCAACUCGUGUUUCGAGCAGAGACACAUGAUUCUCGGACUACUGAAUUUCACACGGCAGUUAACGGAUGGUAGAUAGUAAGAGCGACGUGUCGCUCAGAUAAAACGCAAAACAUUGGGGCUGACACGCAAUUAGUAGCAGCGCUGACUGCAAAUCGUCGUGGCGCUGUAUCGCGAGAUUUACCGUUCGUUCAUCCCUUCUUUCUCCUCUCUUAUUUUUACUUUCUUCCCUACUCUAAUUUUCUUUGCGUCCUUCAAACGCACGCAACUUCGUUCGAAUAUGUUUAAUUCCCUUUAAAGCGAAUCUCUCUCCGACAUCUUUAUACUCGUUUCGCGUUGAACAUAAGAACAAAGGCACGUUCAUAUUUCAGUUUAACCUUUUACGUAAUUCCUCGUAGCUUGGAAACCGCAUACUCGCAUAGAUCCGUAUUUUUAAAACUUGCAUCCAAUUCUUGUUUUUUCUCUCUCUCUCUCUCUUAUUAUUUGUACACAUAAAGCGGAUCACUGUAAGAUAUAUGUCGGUCUGUUUAAACGUGAAUAUCGAUUCGAAGUGGUUGACAGAUCGUUUCUAAGUUGAACGUUUCGAUAAUUAAUCAUACGUUUGGACGCGUGCUACGUUAUUUGAUUAAUUAGCCCGCUAAUCUCGCUGUUUACCAGUGCAAAGGGCAUAGAUAUUAUUCAUUUCGACGUAUCCUAGUAUCGUUCUUAAUAUCGAAUCUAAGUAGCAUUAUAUUUUUAACGAACGAGAACAUUUAUAUAUUUGCGUGUCUUUUUUUUUUUUUUAAAUUGAAAUUCUUUACAAAUUAAACUUUUCAUCGCUAAUCGAAUCAUGUUCGAGAUUCGUUAUUAAUUUCGAAUAAUCGAUGCGGGGAACGCGAAUUGCUUUCGGUAUUAUUUAAGAAACGAGACGUUUCUUGAUAAAGAAUUUGCAUUGUUAUUGCCAUCACCGAAACCAUCUGCCAUUUAUUCUUUCUUUAUUGAUUCUUCGAUCGGAUAUCUCGGAUAUUGCACGAAAUAAAUAACCACGAAUUAUUAAUUAUUCAAAAUAAUACACAUUGGAAGAGGGGGAAGAGGGGAGGGAAGCAAAAUAAAUACCAAUGAUUGACCGGUAGAGGGGAUGAUAAAUGAAAUAAAGAUCUCACUUACUCGAUCAACGAUUGAUAUAAUCAUAUAUGGUUUUAACGUUUUAAUUAUUUAUCUUAAAAGGGCGAGCAAUUCGUAAACACUUUCCUCAAAUUAUUUAUAGAAUUACCACGCGUUCGAAUUGAAUCGAAACGGUUAAAUUGAUUUUUCUAACCGCUUUAUAAGGAUUUUAAGUCGGGGCAUCCGUGAUGGUAGACCAAGUGGAACGAAGGAGAAAAUGGAUUUUUUUUUUCUUCCUUUUUUACGCUGGAAAGAUAAAAUAAUGGGCCGGUGGAUUUGAAUGGAGCAACAGCGCAUUAUCAUAGUUUAAUUUUCUGUCCUUUCAACCGAGGUAGCGUCCCAUUUUUCAUAAAAAGGGGAGCGCAACGGGAUAAAGUUUUCGAAGCAAUUCUUGUUCUACGCGCGGUGGAGGGGGGGAAAGAUUUCUCUCUCGAUGCAAGUGGUAGUUCUAGGGAUUCGUAGGUCGAUCGUGAGGUAAGGGAUAUCAACGAUACGGUUGAAAAUUUUCCUCGCUCCCUUGCUUUAUUCACUGGUUGGAAAAUCAAAUCUCGAAUUUAUUUUACAUCCACGGUUCAUUUCAUCGCACGCCGAUAUUGUUGUGCACGAUAUUCCGCGCGAUAAAGAAACAGGGGAAUAAUAAGAAAUCUUCUAUCUUUUUUAAUGCAUCGUGGGCAAACAUAUGAAACGGAAUUACGGGGAUGUAGCUGGUGUACGAAAGACGGAACGACGAGUGGAUCGGGAAAAGAAAUUUCAGGAGAGGAAUCCGGCGUAUCGGACUCGGGUCACGCGCGGUCAAUGAAAAUUUUAUCUCUCUCUUUCUCUCUCUCUCUCUCUCUUUCUCUCUCUCUCUCUCUCUCUCUCUCUCUCUCUCUCUCUUCUUCUUCUUCUUCCUUCGAAUAUUUUUAUCGCGUCGCUGUCAUUACAUUAUCACCGUCAUCGAUUUACAUUUCCAAUUAUUUCCAACAGCGUUAUGCUUAUUAUAAUUUUAUUAAUUUGAUUAUUUUAAUUUUAUUAAUUUUAUUUCCUCCAUAUAUAUAUGUAUAUAUAUAUAUAUAUAUAUUUGUUCCUUUAUCAUUUUUUAAAUUUAACGUUUUCGAAAAUACUUACACGCUCGAAGGAAAAGAUUUAAACAAUAAGGUAAAACAAUAAGGUUUUUAUCUUACCCCGUGACUCAUGGAACGGAAUAAUUACACGUAAAAAUAUACGGAAGAAGAUAAAAUUAUCGAAUUUGACAUACGAAAUGAGUUUUACGAGUUUGUCUUACGAUAAUAAUACCGUGCUCGUGAAUGCAGUACGGAUCGGUUUUCGUACAAGUACAGUCGAUUUGCACUAUUUUUUUUUUUUUGGAUCGGUUUCAGCAAUUUUAUCGUAAGAAAUGAAAAGGAAUAUAUAAACGAAGAAAUCGGCGGUGAAAUCGUUUCUUUUUUUUUUUCGAUCGGCUUCGAAGGAGAAAUUGAGAAAUUGAUCGAUCGGGGACGCUUUCGAGAAGUUCUGCCAUCCAGCUAUCUCUAUGCUUCUCGACGGGGAACACUUGGUACACCCGCGAAAAUCUAAAUUCGAGAUCGGCUCAAGAUGCUAGACAGGACGCUCUUUAGGACGCGCGUUGUUAUAAAUUUUACCAAUUUUAAAUUUAAAUUAAUAAUUUAAAUUUAAAUUAAUAAAACAAACAAACGUUCGAUUCAUAA